UCACUCUAUCAUAGGUGCUGAAUAGUAACAAAACCCUCAACAAAUCAUCUAUAAUAAUCGACCAAACCAAUAAAGCUACAAACCUUAGUCAGAGAUAUAGGUCUAUCCCAAUCACGAAUAACCUCAAUCUUUGUCGGGUCUACUUUAAUCCCAACAUUAGAUACCACAUACCCAUGGAAUGCCACUGACUCAAGUUAAAACUCACACUUAAGAGAACUUGGCAAAAAACACAUGAUCCCUCAAAUUCUAGAGCAUAUCAACAAAUAUUGUGCAUGCUCCUCUCUACUUCUUGAAUACAUAAGGAUGUCAUCGAUGAAAUUUAUCACAAAGGAAUCCAGAUAAGGUCUGACCACUCGGUUCAUAAAAUCCAUAAAUAUGGUUGGGACAUUAGUAAAGCUAAAUGACAUCACCAAGAACUCAUAAUGAUCAUAUCGGGUCCUAAAGGCUAUCUUCAGGUUAUACUCAACCCAAAUCCACAACUGAUGGCACCUACAUCUCAAAUUAAUCUUAGAAAAUACUACCGAUCUCUGAAGCUGGUUGAACAAAUCGUCAAUGCAAGGCAGAGGAUAGUGGUUCUUCACAGUUAGCUUAUUAAGUUGACUAUAAUCAAUACACAUGUUUCGCACCCCAUUUUCCUCGAGGAAAGCAAAAUUCAACAUGACCACUCUUUUUUGGGGAUUGUUUUGAAGGUAGAGGUGUGAAGAGUCGUCACCUAACGAAUCAAGCUGCAUUAAGGAACUGGUCUAGGCUACUAUGAACCUAUUUUGUCAUUUUGUCUUAGUUCACCAGAGUUCGGGUAAGGGUUCAAAGUUCCUCAAAAGAAAGGUAUUAGGCACCUUUCGAGGUCCACAAAGGUGGUUCCCGGACGAAUUCAUACUUUACGUGGGGAUUCUACGUGAUCAAACAAAAGGUCUUAUUUUAUUAUUAAUUUAAUGUUUAUCUAGCUGAUAAAGUAAUUAACAAACAUUUCACUUAAUUAUGUCUAUUAAUCAUCUAAGUGAAAAUCAAGAAAAAUUUGUAAAUCAGACAAGUGGAGAGAAAGAAAUAACAUAAUUUACAAUAAAAAAGGAUUGCCUUAUAAUAAACUAAAUACCCCAACUCAAUGAACAUGUAAAGUAAAUAAAAGAAUAAAAAGAAAUCGUGCAAAUUAAACAAGAAAUAUUUUGAUCUCAUUCAGAUCAGAAUCCCAACUUGUUUAAUCAUCAUCCAAUCUGUCAAUCGAAUUCUUCGACAAGUAACAAUGUCAUCAGUUUACCGUCAAUAUAUAUUGGGAUUAUCACUUCCGAAUGACUACCCAUCCCACCCCACCUAGGCUGGAUGUCGGGUCUAAUGGCAUUCUAUAACAAGGAUAAAACUAACGGCUCUUAGUAAUACUUGUCGUCCAACCUAUCGUCCAAGUGGCAUUGGACUUUCCUAUUUUAGAUUUGUGUUCUAGAAAAAAAUUAAGUUAUGUUGCCUAGGACUCUAAGCACGUUACACUUUAGACAGCAAGUAGCACAUAAGAAUCACAAGUUAACCUCUUGAUUAAUUAAUGUUAAUUAAUGUGAUUAACAUGCAUAGACAAAUAAUUAGCUUAUUCUGACGUCAUUAAACUAUAGGCAUAAUAUCUAAGUGUUCAACAAUUGAUAGUGUGAAAAAGACAAAUGUGAUUCGUGUGUGCAACAAUACAUCGUCAAAUUGUUAAAAGAGGGUGUCUAAAGUGUAGUAAAUGUGUCAAGAAAUUGGGCUCGUGAAAUAAGUGUUGUGAUAAUGAGUAUAAGAAAUUAACAAAAAUAUUAAAAUGCAUUAACAUGCUAAGGAUGCAAUGAUGUACUUAAUCUAGUAUUUAACAUGCUAGAAUGCCUAAACUAACAUUUUAACAUCCUGAAAAUUAUGCAAAUACUGCAGAAAUUUAAUGUUAAACAUGCUGUAAUUUGUAUAAUAACAUGCUAAAAGCAGUUUAAUAUGCUGAAAUUUCACUUGAUUUAUGCAAAAACAGUAUUUUUUACUUGCUGAAAUUAAUAUUAGCACACUAAAAAUACACGAACUCUAUUGUUUUGACAUGCUGAAAAUGCGCAGAAACUUCAUGCUAAUAAGCAGAAAAUUUAGUUAAACAUGCUGAACUUGUAUUCUAGUAGUGGAGACAUGCUGAAAAUUAACUGAUUUAUGUAAGAAUACGAUUUUUAGCAUGCUGGACAUUAAUUAUCUUAUGUGAAAAUAUAGUUCCAAACAUGCUGAGCUGAAUUCAUUUAUUUGUCAUGCAUAAAACAUUAUUAAACAUGUAGUAAUUGUCAUUAGACAUACUGAGAAUAAUGUUAAGGCAUAGUAGUCUCAUGUUGAUAUGUUGAAAACAUCUUAUCAUGCUUCAAUUCAAUGAGGACAUGUUAAGAAGGUAUUAGCAUGCUUAAAUUUCAUUUUAAGGCGUCGUAUAUUAAAAUUUAACUUAAGCAAUAUUUGAAAGCUUCUAAAUGAUUCGUGUGUUAAUAAAUCCUACUUUUGUGUGCCUAAAUGAUCCACGUAACACGUAUUGCAUAUAAACCUAAGUUGUACCUAUCUAUACCGUUCAUAGAGCACAUAAAUCCCCGCCUCCCAAAGCAGUCCCCAAAAUUUAUUAUACAUCAAUAAUAAUAAUGUCUUUACAAAUAUUACAAAUCAAAUAACACGAAAAAUAAGAAGAAAGAAAAACAAGCUAUGAAGAAUAACAUAGUCAAUUUCAUCAUCCCGACAACUCUUCGGAACCCCUUCCAAUAACACCUGUUGAAUAUAAUAGAAGAACAAUGCAAGCACGGGACAAACAAGGUACAACAUAUAAGCAGCAAGCAAUUGUUUCAACUACGGGACAAACAAGGUACAACAUAUAAGCAGCAAGCAAUUGUUUCAACUAAUCCUAUAGGCAUGCUUUCUAUUAUGUAAAUACAUUGACGAGGGACUUACCAGUGCGCAACAGUAAAUGAGAUAAUAAGAAUAAAAGAAAGCCAAGCACCGCGAAAUACGCAAGAUGUUUUCCGUAAGCCUCGAAGAAAAAACCGGAGAACUUUUAGAGUAUCCAAUUGGUUUAUGUUAAAAGUAGUUGGUAUCUUGUUUAAAAGAGAGUAAUAGUUUGUGAUUGUAGAACUGUCCAUUGAAUGAAAAGAGAUGUUUAUAUAGUGGAGAGAUUGUAAAAUUAAAGGAAGAAAAUACGGAAAAUCAAUCAGUAAUGAUAAGAAAGGAAACAAACUAUUCUAAACAAGCAAUCAGAAUUAAUCAAUCAAGGAGAAGGAAAAUAUCGAGUUUCCUUUUUAAAAAGGAUCUGCCACGGAAUACCUUCCUUAAUUAGUUUAAUCAAAUCCCAUUAAGGAGAAGAGGAAAAAGAUUGCUAUAAUAAACUAAUGAAUAUUCCACGGAAGGCAAGAAAAAUCAAUCAGAAGACUAUUUUCCAUAAAUCAAUACCAUCAGUCAAUUACAAUAAAACAGUAACAGAUUAUCACGAAUCGAGAAACAGGAGUCACGGAGGCAAAUUAGUGAACAAAGGAUAUAUUGAGACCAUUUUAUAAAUUGCAAGGAAAACAGACUAAUCAAACAAAGUAUUUUCUUAGUUGAAACGGAUUCAUUUUAAUUAAAAAUAUAUAACGCAGUCCAAUUUAUGCAUCACAAUAUGUAUAUCAAAUCUGUCUGAAACAGUGAAAGCAAAAAAAAUAAUAAUAAUAAACAUCAGCUAGUAGACAAUUUGAAACUAAUCAAGGUCCAUAGAAUUUGGGGCUUCUCAGGUAUGUCGAUCAAGAGACGAACAUAAACCCAAAUUUAACAAAUUGGAACGAAUUUCAGAGUCACAAUGUCACGAACAACCAAAGCAGACAACCAUGCAUGUUAAACUAGAGUACACCAUCAUGAAAUUAAGCGAUUUAAAAAUCAAAUCGGACAAAAAAUAGCCGGUGUUCGUCGAAAGGAUCGCCGGUUAUUCACUUCAGAGAAGAAUGGAAAAUAGACAGUAAAGACGAUGCAGAGUUUUUCCACGGGUAGGGGAAAGGAGACGCCAGAGCAGCGGCCUUAUUGGUGGCGCGGUUUUCCCGCUAGUGGCAGCGCCGGGCGGUAGGCGGUGGAGAGGGCUGGUUUCGAUGGGGAGGCGAGGGAGAGGCGUUGGAUCUGGGGUGCUGAUGGAGGAGAGAGGGUUCGCCGGUGUUGAUGUCGCCGUUGGUGGCUGGUACUUCCACCAACCAUGGUGGCCGGUGGCUUCAAAGAGGAGGGAGAGAAGAGAGGUAGAGAGAGAAAGUAGAGAAGGGGGGUGGAGG
rnacentral:lncRNA from 1 species